rnacentral:rRNA from 1 species
UACCUGGUUGAUCCUGCCAGUAGCAUAUGCUUGUCUUGGAGAUUAAGCCAUGCAUGUCUAAGUUUAAGUAUUCAACGGCGAAACUGCGAAUGGCUCAUUAAAACAGUUAUAGUAUAUUUGAUAAUGUUUUUACAUGGAUAACCGUGGGAAACUAGAGCUAAUACAUGCAUAACGACCAUCUGGUUGUAUUUAUUAGCUAUAACCUUUCGCCCUGCGAAUAGAGGAAUCAUAAUAACUGAUCGGAGCGCAAUAAAUCUGCGCUAAAUCUUUCUAGUUUCUGCCCUAUCAGCUUUCGAUGGUAGUGUAUUGGACUACCAUGGCUAUCACGGGUAACGGAGAAUUGGGGUUCGAUUCCGGAGAAGGAGCCUGAGAAACGGCUACUACAUCUACGGGAGGCAGCAGGCGCGUAAAUUACCCAAUCCUGACUAAGGGAGGUAGUCACAAGAAAUAGUAUACCGGACCUUCGGUCUAGUUUUGCAAUGGAUUUAGUUUAAACCCUUAUUUGAAAUCUAUUGGAGGGCAAGUCUGGUGCCAGCAGCCGCGGUAAUUCCAGCUCCAAUAGC